UAGUCAAUAAAGCAGAAAUAGAUGUUUUUCUGGAACUCUUGCUUUUUCGAUAAUCCAACGGAUAUUGGCAAUUUGAUCUCUGGUUCCUCUGCCUUUUCUAAAACCAUCUUGAACAUCUCAAAGUUCACAGAUCACGUACUGCUGAAGCCUGACU